rnacentral:snRNA from 1 species
GUGCUCGCUUCUGCGGCAGACACUCUUAAACUGGAAUGAUGAUGAGAUUAGCCCCUGUGCGAGAAGGACAUGCAAAUUCGUGAAGCCAUCUGUAAUUUU